rnacentral:rRNA from 1 species
CAUCCGGUCGAUCCUGCCGGAAUCCGACGCUCUCCCCAAGGACACAAGCCAUGCAUGCCCGCGCACCCGGGAGGCGGCGGACGGCUCAGGACAACGGUUGCACCCCCCGCGGCGGUCCCUGCUAGCCGGACACCGCUGGCAACCCGGCGCCAAGACGUGCGCGCAAGGGCGGGCGCCCGCGGGCGAGCAGCGUGACGCAGCGACGGCCCGCCCGGGCUUCCGGGGCAUCACCCGGUCGGCGCGGUCGCGGCGCGCCGAGGGCCCGACGCCUGGGCGGAGAAUCAGGGUUCGACUA